rnacentral:lncRNA from 1 species
CAGGCAAACAAAAUAGUUACUUUCAAGAGUCCAGAGGAAGUUGAAAUUGCAUUACAUUAGAAUUAACCUAAAAACUUAUAUCAUUUUAUCUAAUUUUAGCUUCCAAAUUUGCAAGAUCUUUAAAAGCAAUAUACAUGUAUUGAUGUAUAGACCUAGAACUUUGAAUAUACCAGUGGGGAAUGAAUCAAUCAUGGCAUUGUUUUUUAAAGGCCUACAGACAAUAAGAAAACCAUCAUGAGAUGUUCUUGUUCAAUAACAAACUUGUAUAAAUCUAAGAAAUUAACAGAGCGUGUAAGAGGUGAAACCACACAAAAAUAAUUAAAAGGAAGUUCAUUAGGUUCGAUACUUACAGUUGCUACAUCAAACGCCUCCCUCAGUGCACCAGCUGGAAAAAAAGUCGGAUUCUGUCUGCCAUCACGCAUACAACAAAGGUCAAAAUCUAAGCAAAAUUUUUUAUUUCAAAAAGCCAAGCCUCAUAAAAUACCAGUAGAUCAAAAGACUAACCAAGGGAUGGACAAAUCUUUACAUCAGUUACAUUUUAGACCUGAAAACUCAAAAUUUUAGACCUGAGAAGGUGGUGUGUCCAGAUCAGUAAAACUGCAACCACAAAAGGGGAUGAACCAUUUUAGACCUGAAAACUCAAAAUUUUAAAACAAAUGAUAGAUAAAAUGCUCAUGGAGCACUGAAUCAAAAAAUGUUUGAAUGAGUAUUUGUUCUUUGGGUUUUUUUUCCACUUAGAAAUCGGGUGAGGACAGUAUGUGUCAUUUAGCACCAAGAUUCCAGCCACUACUGCCUCCUCCUACAUCUAGCAGUUGAAAACUUCAAAUCAAGUAAUGGGUAGAUCAUAAUGAAUCUUUUUCACUUCAAACAAUAUGGUCAAUCUUGUUCCAUUCAAAAAAGAUGAUGCAUCUUAC